UGAAACACCGCUUCCGCUACGAUCUCCGAAGUUAAGCAACAUCGAGCCUGGUCAGUACCUAUAUGGGUGAUCGCUUGUGAAUAUCAGAUGCUGUAA